rfam:Aedes aegypti strain Liverpool supercont1.504 genomic scaffold, whole genome shotgun sequence.
UGCCCAGGAAUUCCUAUCCCUACCUCCUCGUGAUACUGACCGGGGUACGAGUAACCUUAGGGAAGAUCGGGUAACCGACUCUGGUGGAAACUUUGGUCGUAUGCUGACAGAGAAGU